ACUCCUACGGGGGGCAGCAGUAGGGAAUCUUCCGCAAUGGACGAAAGUCUGACGGAGCAACGCCGCGUGAGCGAUGAAGGCCUUCGGGUCGUAAAGCUCUGUUGUUAGGGAAGAACAAGUGUGAGUUGAAUAAGCUCAUGCCUUGACGGUACCUAACCAGAAAGCCACGGCUAACUACGUGCCAGCAGCCGCGGUAA
rnacentral:rRNA from 1 species